CCUACGGGAGGCAGCAGUGGGGAAUUUUGGACAAUGGGCGCAAGCCUGAUCCAGCCAUGCCGCGUGCAGGAUGAAGGCCUUCGGGUUGUAAACUGCUUUUGUACGGAACGAAAAGUCUCUUUCUAAUAAAGAGGGAUCAUGACGGUACCGUAAGAAUAAGCACCGGCUAACUACGUGCCAGCAGCCGCGGUAAUACGUAGGGUGCGAGCGUUAAUCGGAAUUACUGGGCGUAAAGCGUGCGCAGGCGGUUAUAUAAGACAGUUGUGAAAUCCCCGGGCUCAACCUGGGAACUGCAUCUGUGACUGUAUAGCUAGAGUACGGUAGAGGGGGAUGGAAUUCCGCGUGUAGCAGUGAAAUGCGUAGAUAUGCGGAGGAACACCGAUGGCGAAGGCAAUCCCCUGGACCUGUACUGACGCUCAUGCACGAAAGCGUGGGGAGCAAACAGGAUUAGAUACCCUGGUAGUCCACGCCCUAAACGAUGUCAACUGGUUGUUGGGAAUUCACUUUCUCAGUAACGAAGCUAACGCGUGAAGUUGACCGCCUGGGGAGUACGGCCGCAAGGUUGAAACUUAAAUGAAUUGACGG
rnacentral:rRNA from 1 species